rnacentral:rRNA from 1 species
UACGAAGGUCCCAAGCGUUGUUCGGAAUCAUUGGGCGUAAAGGGCGCGUAGGCGGUGCCGUAAGUCUGGUGUGAAAUCCCCGAGCUUAACUCGGGUCCCGCGCCAGAGACUGCGGUGCUUGAGUGUGGGAGAGGAGAGUGGAAUUCCCGGUGUAGCGGUGAAAUGCGUAGAUAUCGGGGGGAACACCCGUGGCGAAGGCGGCUCUCUGGACCACUACUGACGCUGAGGCGCGAAAGCCGGGGGAGCAAACAGG